rnacentral:misc_RNA from 1 species
GAUGAAGAACGUAGUGAAAUGCGAUAAGUAAUGUGAAUUGCAGAAUUCAGUGAAUCAUCGAAUCUUUGAACGCACAUUGCGCCCGCUAGUAUUCUGGCGGGCAUGCCUGUCUGAGCGUCAUUUCAACCCUCGCCCCCGGCUUUUGCUGGGAGCGGUGUUGGGGAUCGGCCGCCCGUCACUGGGAGGCCGGCCCCGAAAUAGAGUGGCGACCACGCCGUGUGCUCCUCUGCGUAGUAGUAAAUCACCUCGCAGGCGGACAGCGGUGCGGCCUGCCGUAAAACCCCCAACUCUUUCUGGUUGACCUCAGAUCAGGUAGGAAUACCCGCUGAACUUAAGCAUAUCAAUAAGCGGAGGA